GUCUACAGCCAUGCCACUCUGAACAUUUCCAAUCUUGUCUGAUCUCGGAAGCUAAGCAGAGUCGGGCCUGGUUGGUACUUGAAUGGAAGACCACCUAGGAAUACCAGGUGCUGUAGGUG
rnacentral:rRNA from 1 species